rnacentral:tRNA from 1 species
GCCGAAGUGGUGGAACUGGCAGACACGCAGCGUUCAGGGCGCUGUGGGCGCAAGCCCAUGAGGGUUCAAGUCCCUCCUUCGGCA